rnacentral:misc_RNA from 1 species
AACGCACCUUGCGCUCCCUGGUAUUCCGGGGAGCAUGUCUGUUUGAGUGUCAUGAACUCUUCAACCCACCGGUUUCUUGUAAACUGGCUGGUGUUUGGUUUCUGAGCGUUGCUCGUCCUCUGUGACUGAGCUCGUUCGUAAUAUAUGAGCAUCUCUAAUUCGACUUCGGAUUGACUCAGUGUAAUAGACUAUUCGCUGAGGACACACCUAGUGUGGCCGAAUGAGAUAAUUGUAGAAGCUUCCAACCCUUCUAGUCAUUUUAAGAUUAGACCUCAGAUCAGAUAGGACUACCCGCUGAACUUAA